GUUUAGUAAGUGUUAUCUGUUUAUCGCUGCAGGAGAAGAUAGAGGUUGAAGAAACCAGGACAGAAGAUGGAGGUUGAAGAAACCAAGAGAAUGACCCAGACUUGGCCCGGUUUGAGGACAUCCCGACCUUAGACAAGCCGAGGGACCAGCGACAUCUGUCUGUCUGUCUGACAGUUCUCUCUGACCUGGGACAGACUUGAUCAUCUCAGGAAGAGUAAGAGGUUUCCUGAAAUUUUGUCCUUCCCGUUUUGGAGUAAAACGAAGUUUAACCGUUAAGUGAAAUGAAUAAUUUCAGUACUUGUUUAGACUUGAUUUUGAAUUGGUUCAGACUAGAAUGGGAAAAUAUUUAAAUCAAGCUAUGGCAAUUGUUAUAUUUUCAAAAUACAAUGUAACAGUAACAUGAUGCUAGUUUAUAUAUAGAUUUGGUAGAAAUUUUCAAAAUGAAGCAAUAACUUGUUCAAUGUCCAUUUCAAUUAUCACUUUACAGUAUUUAAAAUAAGUAUUAAAGCAAUUUGUGCACAUAACAGAAAAACUAUUUUUUCAACAGAAAUAUCAUUUAUUCAUAAAUUUAUA